rnacentral:lncRNA from 10 species
CCCCCUCCCCGCCCGACCCGCGGGUGCCCGAGAUCUGACUCACCGUCCCCCUCCGGGCUUAGCCGGCGGAGGUGGGGCGGGUGCCGCCGAGGUAGCCACGCAGCCCCUGUGCGCCUCCGGCCCGGCCCAGCGACCUCCUCUCGGGCCUGCCGUUACCCGGUCCCCUCCUGCCACCACCCGCUACCCGGCCACCCCGAGUCCGCCUGGGGUGGCCGAACGUAUGGAGCUGGGCUCCAGGGUGCACGGGGAUGGGGGGUGAGGAGCGGGGCGUUCUCCCUCCCAGCACCCCCCAGCUGACUCUGUGCCCGGAGGGGGUGUGUGAGCCGGAACCUCCAGCAUUCUUGGGGAUACGAACUUCCAACGCUGGGCAGCCUCUUAAGGCUUCUAGGAAUUCGCAUCCCCAGCGCCCCAGCCAGCAGAUCGGUUGCGAGAGGGACCGUUCGGGUCCGCGGGGCCGGGAAUGGAGGUGGGAGGGCGGGGCCGAGGCGGCGGCCGCCUGCGGACUGGAGACCCGGGAGGACGGACGCGGACGCGGGCUGCUCGUCUUUUACGGCCCUUCAACGCCCACCACGACCCACUCCUCUUGGAGACCCCGGGCGACGGUGGGGCUCUUGGGCAUUCUGAGACUGCGCUUGGUGGAGACCCCGGGCGACGGUGGAGCUCUUGGGCAUUCUGAGACUGCGCUUGGUGGAGCCCCCUACUGGCCAGACUGGAUUUCUCAGCCUGCGACUCAGCCCCAGGCUACACGAAAGAAGCCAGACCUGGCUUUUACUGCCUCCUGAGGCCUUCGUCUUGUUCACACUGAGUGUCCAGUCCCUCCAAAUCCGGCUACACUCUACUGGCAAGGAGCACCUGGGCCAUGUUUUAGAGAUCAUCCGAGGACUAACCCCAAAAGUUUAUGAAGAGAAAGCAGAGGCCGAGCUGAAGAGAUGGACCCGGGUCACACCCAGGUAAAGGCAGGAUCUAAACUGAAACUGGUGUCAGAUCUGGUUGCCUUGCACCCCUGAUAUCAGGUGAAGCAACACUGGGCAGGAUAGAGCAGAGUGAGGUCAGAGUGUGAAGAUCCAGCCUGAUGCCCAAACUGACGCCUCUUCAUUCUCCCCUGCUCCAUCUGUAAACGUCACGGUUAAUCCAUCUACUUUAUUGCAUUAUAUAGAGAAAUAAAUGAAAUGUCAUAGCUGUAUGC